AGGUUGAGAACCACUGCCUUAAAGUAACCAGAUCCCAUGUGAUCUUGGAAGAUUAGCAGGAUCAACCCUGGCUAGUACUUCAGCGGGUGACCACCAAUGAAUACAAGGUGCUAUAUUUG
rnacentral:rRNA from 11 species